UGGGGCAUCACCGCUCCUGUUUGUAUAAUUUACUAUAGCAUUGAAGGACUGGUUAAUCCACUGCCAGAAAACCACUGCUGGUGUCGUUCUAUAAAAGGUCAUCAUACAACCUGUGAUAGUCAUGUUCAUGGGUACCUGAGCUGACAUUCGGCCAAUCAAGACCAUCUUUUCGCCAGUGUCUGGAUGAAAGGCUGAAUCAUAGAUAUACUUUGCUCUCCACAGUUCAUUUUCAGUCAAUCCAGGUGCCACAAUACCUUGUCUAUAAUCAUGCACGAUUUUUCUUGCAUUUUCCAGCUGGGCAUCAGAUAGCAAAAUAUUUCGGGGGUCUGUUACAGUGAAGAAGUGACUGGCUCGUCCAAUGAAAGUGCUUUGAUCCCAUCGGGGCUCCUUGAUAUUAAUAUUUAAUGGUAUAUCUGCCGACAUCUUCAAAAACUCGCGGCCCCGCGCGCUGCCGGCUCCGCGCCGCCCCGCC
rnacentral:lncRNA from 1 species